rnacentral:piRNA from 1 species
CCGGCAAGAAAGGCUACGUUGUUAAAG